GAAAAAUGAAGGUAUCUCAGUGUGUAUCAAAUGGACAAUCCAAGCAUUACAAUACAAUUUAAUUCCUAAUGCAGCCCCCAAUCAUUUCGCCAAUUCUGGUGUAUUUUUAAUAUAAUCUUUGUACUUUGGUGUUUGAAAAUCUUCCAACUUCCAAUCCACACCAUUCCAAGUCUGGUGCUGCCCCUUUCCUGCACAUAGUAUUGUUUUUUACUUUUCCUACUCCCAUUAAACCAAAUUUAAUAAUUCAGCUAUUUUGAGCAGGGAGUUAUGAGGAAAAAUGUGCAGGGACAGGGGGUACUCCAGGACCAGGGUUGGAAAUCUGUGGACUGGUGUGUUUAAAUUAAAGGCACUCCAGAGAUCAUGCAUCAGUUUGAAAUGGACAAGGGUUUAUAUAUUUUUAUAUAUACAAACCCUUCAACAAACAUGCAGAGGAAGACAUUGGUUAAAUAGUAUUAGAAUACUUAUGUCUGUCUUUCAGCUUGAUGCUUAUAUCCUAUUUAUAGGAUCAGUAAGGCUUGGAUUAAUGUUUAACUUUAAUGCUAGCAUUUUUACAGUUUUUCAGAAAUAUUAUGACUGGGAUUCAGGUUCCCAGCCUUGCUUUUACAUUUGGCUUAUCAAUCUUGAGGAGAGGUUAUGCAGGAGGGUUCCUGAACCAUGCUAAGCUGGGCAUUUGUAUGAAGAAUAAGAAGACACUGCAUAGCUUUUCGAAAUUGAAGGCUAAAUUUGCGGAAAGUGCAUUUAAAUGUCUUUGCACUGUUAAAUUGAUGGAAAGGUUGCAUGGUCAUAAUGAAGCCUGAAACAUCAUCAAAUUGCAUUUGAAAAUUGAAUUCAGAUAUCAACCGAAUACCUUUCCGAGAGCUUUAGAGAACUUUGCUUGCUAUGUAAACUGCAAUGCUAGUUUCAGUGUUUUUAGCACUGUGUAGAACUCUAUAACUUGCACCAUCUCACACUGGAAAUUCACAAAUAAUACAAUGACUUUUUCUUACACCCUCCAGCAUCCACUUGUUUCAACAAAUUAUAUCAGACUGUAUUUAUAAUGUGGGAUGAUGAAAUUGUGGGCUCAUGUUUUUAUAAGUGCCUUGAUGUGGUCACGUCCACUGGUGUGCUAACUACAUCAGUCCCUGUGUCAUUCUGACCAAAACAGCUGUGCGAGGUCUCGACAAUGACACACCCUGGCAAAUUGUUUUUCAACAUGUGAAAAGUGAGGUGUUCCAGAGUGCAAGUUGUUCAUAGAGUUCUAAAGUUGCUUAUCCUGACCCUCUGACACACCAUGUGCAUUUUAUACACCACAAAUCCGAAGAGUUAGCCUUCAUCCUGUCACCCUAGAGUUCAGAUUCUGAGCUGAAUUGAACACACCUGCUUAAUUAAUCUAGUUAAUGAACACAUUUCUUUAGUUCAUGGCACUUCAGAAAGCCAGUAGAAACAUCUCCAGAUGGAAAAUGUGGAGCAUCUUUUUAUCAAGCAUUUCUUUUAAUUAAAAAUGGAAGUUGCAGCUCAGUGCUUAGGGGUCAAAUCUCCGCACAACUGCUGGCCCCUUGAGCAAAGCUCUUCACGAUCAACCACUCGGCUGUAUAAUUAAUACACUUGUGAGUUGCUCUGGAUUAAAAAUAUCUGCCAUAAAUAUAACUGGUAUUAGGCA